AUGCCGCUCUCCGAGGAUGAGGUGAGCCUCGGCGAUGAAGAAUUUAUCGUGCCUGAGGAUCCCGUAGAGCAGGAGCGUUUUAAGCGCCGGCUUAUAGCCACGACAAAGAGCCUGAAGAAGAAGCAGCAGCAGCUUCAAGCUAAUCAAGACCUGCUCACUGAUAGAUGGAUUGAGGUCCUGUCAGCCGAGGAAUGCGGACUUGAACGCCCAACCAAAAGUUACCCGAAGUGCAAAUUGCUACCUCAAUUCGAUGACGAGGCGCUGGAGCCAGCACUACAAGUGCAUAAUGCGGCUCACCGACCACCACGUGGCCGAGAUAAAAUGACAAUUCUGCCCGAACACCAGCCGGCACUGCGUCACCGAACAAAUAGAAAUACAACAACUUGGGUAUACACACAUGACCUGCGGUAUGACUUGGAAAACUGA
rnacentral:rRNA from 1 species